rnacentral:lncRNA from 1 species
UUUUUUUUCUUUUUUUUGCCUUUUCUAGGGCUGCUCCCACAGCAUAUGGAGGUUCCCAGGCUAGGGUCUAGUCGGAGCUGUAGCCGCUGGCCUACACCACAGCCACAGCAACACAGGAUCCGAGCCACAUCUGCAACCUACACCACAGCUCACGGCAACGCCGGAUCCUCAACCCACUGAACAAGGCCAGGGAUCGAACCCGCAACCUCAUGGUUCCUAGUCAGAUUUGUUAACCACUGCGCCAUGACGGGAACUCAUAUUUUUUUCUAAUCAGAUGCUUCCUUGGUCUCUUCAGGUCUGAAAGAUUAUCUAAAAUCUAAGGAAAAAAUAAUAAGUACAUUUUUAGGAAAGACUUUUAUUAUUACUCUGUCUGUGAUGUGUGUCUUCUGUUGACUAGAGAUAGCGUCAUGGCUUGUAGCAACUUUCACUUUUACACACAAUUUUAUAUUUGUCAUAUUAUCCACAACCUAAUAAACUUCCUGAAAGGAAGAUGUGCUUUACAUUCUUUUGAAUCCCCCUCAGAGCUGAUAAAAGCCUGGACUGUGAGAUGUCCUAGAGGGCAUGAAUAAUUAAGGACAAGGUCACCCCAAUAUUUAGAAGAAUGCCAGGAACAUAGUAGGUGUUUAGUAAAUAUUGAUGGAGUUGAAUAUAUGUCUUGUGUAUAGUACACGCAUAAUAGAUAUUUAGCGAUUUAUUCUGAAAGGCGUCCUAGCUCUUUUGAAUAUACAAGCUGCUCAAUCGAUCACCGCAUGCUCAUCAGAUGUUGUAAAAUGAAAUAUGAGAUGAUCUAAAUAUCCUUGCAUUAAGGCAGAUAACUUGAUAAGUAUCAAAUGGGUCUUCAGUUUACUAAUUUUGCCCGUGUCUAUACUACAGGCCUGACAAUAAAAACCUGUUGCUACAUUUUUAAAGUUUUCUUGUUUUUUAAUAAUCUGUACAAGUAAAACAUAUAUUCAAAAAUAUACACAUUAUCAUUGUUACUUGUGGUAUAAGCUACAGGUUUUUUGUUUUGUUGUGGUGGUGGUAGUUGUCGUCUGUUUUUUUAGGGCUGUACCCAUGGCAUACGGAAGUUCCCAGGCUAGGGGUCAAAUUAGAGCUGCAGCUGCUGGUCUACACCACAGCUCGCAAUGACAGAUGCUUAACCCACUGAGCGACGUCGGGAUCAACUUGCAUCCUCAUGGAUACUAGUCCUGUUCUUAACUCUCUGAGCCACAGCAGGAACUCCUAAGCUACACGUUUAAUGAGACUAGAAUGGAAGCCAGAUUUGGUUCUGUUUGAGGUUGUGAGAAAGAGCUUUAUACCCUGGAACUAGGACUUCUAAGGUUAACCAGAUCUGUGUAUUGCCCCUGAAAUGUGAAUCUAAUUUCUGCUUUUAAAGUAUAUUAACUCAGAUACUAUCUUUGUUUUUUCAUCAGUUAUGAGAAUUGUACCCCAACACAUGCUGGGAGAUUUAACUGCAUACAGUGACUGACAGUUACAUCAUCACAAAGACUGGAUGAGCCUGAAGCCCAAUGACAGAAAAGUUAUGAAGGAGUCCUGUCCUUUUCUCACGGAUUGGUAACCUAAAAGCCCAGAAAAAACAAUUAGAGCAUACGGAAUGUGCGGUAGAGGAGAAACUGCAGUCACAUCUUGAUAAAGAUGCACUAAUUUUUUUCCAACAGAAUACGAAAACCCACUGGAAACAAAAUACUUUAGAGAAGUCAUUUAUAGGCUUAAAAUAAAAAAAAAAAAGAAGAAGAAGAAACGAAAGAAAAGGUCUUACUGCUUUGCCUCUGUUUUUCAUACUGACACCCAGUACACCCAUCCCUAGACGCCAGACUGAGGCUUGCUAACUGUGACACCCCAUCUGACUUUAUAAGGAGGCACAGCGCCCACACGCCAGCAGCGCCACUUCUGGCCAAGGUCCUUUCCCACCUUCAAAGAGGAACAGGGUAGCAAAGAAUGGUAAUGAUGCUUAACCCGAGAGACUGCCUUUCUGCUUCCGUCUCCUUCUCUCGUAAACUGAAUGAACUGUUGUUAUAAGACAACAUACUGCUAAGUUAAUGUAACUUAAAAAUUUACAGCAGGUUGUAUGCCUGGAGGCACAUUAUGGGGCCACCUGUAGGCAUCUAAUUCCACUGAAAAUUAUAAAUAAGUGCAGAGAAUUCCUCCGAGUCUGGAGGGGAGUGGAUAAGAACUGCGUUGCUGGUUUACUCCAACGUGGAUUCUGUCGUGGAGAUUAAAGGACAGUGCUCUCUCUCCAACAAAUGAGUAAUCCUUCUCCCCACAAAAGAGUCCGUUAAACGCAACCAGACACCUGGGUGCCAGAGCUGCACAGCCAUUUCUUGGGCACUUUUGAUAAUCCACCUGCAGAAACUGCCACUUGGCAAUUGCUUAAUAUAGCACAUGGAUCCAUUUGAGACUUUUUUUUUUUUCUUACAGUAUAGAAAGCUAUUUUGUUUGUCUCUCUACAUCCUGUUUAUCUUUUUGAAGCCUCCUCAUGUUUUGGCAAAGACAGAAAAUGACAGUAAGAAUAUCCUUGAUAAUGAUUCCAAGCAUUUAUUCGGGAGAAAUUAAUAUGUGUGUUUUAGCAAUGCUCAGCAACCUUGACCUUUUUCAACUGGGAGGUAAAAUUAAUAUACGGCAGAACUGCUUUAAAGAAAAAGUGUUUGUUAUUAUGCUUUGGCCACAAGGUAGGUGGAUUUAGCACUUAUCCUCUAGCCACUUAUGUCAGUUAUUUGUUUCAAAUCUAUUCUUCUAUAAGAUCUGUAAAAUUUUUCACACACACACACACACACACAUACACACACAUGAACUUUUUAUCUAGUAGGUUCUAAAAGCUAACCUAAUCUUUGUCAUUUGGGUUAUAAAUAACCCAUAAACUAUAUUAAUGUAGCCCUUAGUCUUAGAGGCCCCACAGAUACUGUUUGGAUAUUGAAAUCUACGACAACCUUUUUCCACACCAACCGCAUGGCUUUGAACUAAGAAAACUCCAUGUAAAUUAUCAUUUACGUACUGAGGAUUGAAUUCUUGGUGGUUUUAAGGUCGCUAUUUCCUUCUGUUUGUACUACACGAAGGGUUAAUAAGGUUUGCAUAACCUUAUUCUUUGACGGCUUUACAGCAGAGUAUUACAGGACUGCUGCCAAAACAGAUUUUAACCCCUUUAAUCAUGCUGUUAGUAGCAGUAUUAUGCAGAGUCCAUUCUGCCCAAAUGCAAUAUAGCUCUGAAUACAGUUGGACCUGAUAGCCAAGCAAGGAAGGGUUCCUAGAGCUACUUGCCAUUUUAGUUGCUAUGGUGAGUUUCAUAUUUUAUGGAAACCACUGCUAGAUGUCUUAAAAUAGACCUUUGCCAAGAAAAACAUUGGUCCAGUGGCAUAUGCUGGCAGAGCAUUGCAAGGUUGCUCAAAUUCCCUUCCUUUGUUUUUCUCUCUCCCCCCUGGGGCAACUGCUCCAAGCAUCAGCCCACUAGUCUGGCAGGCUGAGAAUCCAGAAACUUGCUGCUAAUUAUAAUGUUGACAAUUCCCAACCUGUUUACUGGCGCCAGCAAUCAAAUCGCAUCCUCUCGAGUGAACCAAAAAGCACUUGCUGGCUUUAGCUUCCUGAGGUUCCAAGCUGGCUAUAUUAAUUACUGUUAACUUAAAACUGUAUGUUGUACAGAAGAAGCUUAAUUAGCUGGUUUGAGGAUUAAAAUCUAUCCUUUACAAAUUUUAAAGCCUUCUGUUCUUGACCAAAUUGUGCGAAUCCAUAAAACAUCUUUCCUUGGAUAAAAUGUUGCUUAUGUUAGGUAUGGCUUCUCAGAGGGAAUUUGGCCACACUAUUUAUGACCUUGAAUUAAGCACCAAAAUAGAUCAGGAGAAAAUCUCCUCCUCUCUCUCUUCUCAUCUCCCCUCCUCUUUCCCUUGCUCCUUCUCCUCCCUCCCCAUUUCAUCUCUUUAUCUUUCUAAGAGUAGUAUCUCUAUGUUGUUUUUGAAAAAACAAAAUAAGGAAGAUAAUGGGCAUAAUCAUUUCAAGUUACUGUUUAUGGUUAGUAAAAAAAGGAAAAUCUUUCAGUGGGGGAAAAAUGCUCAAAAUGUAUGUUUCUAGCUUGGUGAAUUUUAAAACCACAAUAAUGACUUACACUGUUUUUCAGGGGAACGCUCACUGCUGUGAAUGAGGUGGGAGUAGCCAUCUUUUAAAUACAAGACUACUUUCUUGAUUGAUAAGUUGGGCGACUGCACGGUGAGAAAUCACCCUCUCAGGCUCCAAGAUGGUUCGCAUGGCAGGUAACCCAGGUGUGUCAGUGGCUGACCAUCAAUGCAGUUUUCAUAAUAGCACAACAACAGUGGACCUGGGUUUAGUAAAACUGAGGAUUUUAUUUGACUCUGUUCUAAUCCAGGAGUCCUUCUGUCUUUCUUUAUUCAAGACAGCUUUAAAUAUUUAAAAGCUGAAGUAAAAGAGGGUAAAUACAAUUUUAAUUUGUAUAUUAAAAAUGUGAUUUGAUUUCUGUUCCUUGAUGUGUGAAAAUCAUGGAGUCAGUGUUCUUUGCUAAUCUUAUUUUUGAUUUUCCAUCGAAUAUACUACAUGACAAAUACUUGUCAUUCCAGUCUUUCAGCCAAUAUUUUCAUCUGGAAGCUUAUUAAAUUGAGUUGAUUUGAUUGAGAUUAAAAUUUUCCUUGUUUAACUGAAAUAACUUCAACUUGAGCAAAAGAUCAAACUGUUCCUUUAAUUACAAUUUUGGUUUGUUUCUACGUCAAUAUUAAUUUGCCCUAUAAAAUCUUCCUCAAUUUUGAGAAGUACCUAAGUAUAAGCAUACUAUAGGCCUUUAGAAUCUGUUUGCAAUCACAUCUGUGUAUACAAUGUUUGAGCUUGAAAACAGGUUAAAUCAGAUGAUUCACUGAUGUGAAAAUAAUAAUUAUUGUCACAUACAAGGAAGAGUAAAAUUAUAAGAAAAACUUCAAUAUUGAAGUUUUAGUGGGAUGUGGU